AAGCCCUGAUCACUCAUCAGAGCAGUCACGCAGCGGCAGUAGGCACAGAGAGGCACGUGGGACUGUCAUCAGCAGAUCACCCUGUGGUCCCCAUCUGCACCAAGGAGAGCAGCAGGCAUUAGUGGCAGGAGAAGUGUUCAGAUCCCCAAGCUCUGGCUACUUACUGAGGUGUGGAUCUUCCUAGAGAUGAAAAUGUUUCGAUGUUGCAAUUCAUGAGGCAUAAGAUUUUAAAAUGUAAAAGAGGACCCCAAGAGAUGGCUCAACAGGGUUGAGGAUUGAACUUAGGGCUUCACGUGCUAAGCAAGUACCAUACCGUGGAGCUGCAGAGACAGGGCUGCUUUCAGUUGUCCAGGCUGGUGUUGAACUGGUGGUCUUCCAGCAUCGGGAGGAGGUUCACAGAGGUGCACAGCGGACGAAAGAACGAGAGACCAAGCUGGGGUGCGGCCUGCCUCCACGAUGUUAACGACCUCACUUGGAUCCAUUAUCUCUUGGCAGCUGAAUUUCACACAGACUGCAGACCGAGGGGCUGUUCCUCUCCAGGUGUUGCCGUUGUGUCCUGGGCUCCGCCUGUUGCCUGGCAUUGCUGCCCAGACCACCUCCUUCUACGGGGAGAAGAGAGUCACUGGUGCAUUCCAGAAGUCUCUCUGCAUACCUGGAAGCCUGUGAGCCUUUCCUGAUGAAAUUAGAUCUACUUCAGCUCUGACAUCAGGGCUCCUGCUGAGGAAACAUAAAGCCAAAAGCAAGAGGCUCUGAAGCUGUCCCUGCACAGGAGGUCAGGGGAAAGAUGGUUGGGUAGCCACCCUCAGACGGAAGGUCCCAGGAUGUGGUGACUGGAGCUGGAGCUCAAACCUGGAUCCUCAGCCACUGUUGCUUUAAACGUAGGGGCUUUGGGGAAAUUGAUGUGAGUUGUGCCCUCGGUUUACCCUCUGUGACGGGCACCUCCAGAAUGUUCACUUUGUGGGUUGGUGUUUCUACAGGCUUGUCCAGGGGGAAGGGUGGGGAAAACGUUCUCUCAGUGCCGGGAGGGAAAAAUUUUCCCCUAUUGAAUGGUCACUUGUUAUCUGCCCAACCCAUCAGCACCAAACUCACUCAGCCUGAAUCAUCCUAGGGGUGAAUUCUUCUGGGUGGCCCUAAAGGAGCCACUGUGCUGUGGGACAGUCUGCCCUGCUCCCUCGUGUGGAAUCUGGGACUGGGGACCUGGAGGGAAGGAUCCAGUGUUCGCCUUGGUGCGUCCAUAGACUUCUCUACUGUCCCCUGUGGUCAUCCCUCUGCCCACCCUUUGUUCUUCCUCCCUAGUACAUCAAGAGCAGCUGCUCCCUUAACCUGGCCCCAGCCCAGCAGUUUCUCCACCUUGAGGUUCCUGGGGUCUCCUAAGGUCCUGCCUGUCAAUGACCCUGUAGUUAGAGAACUCUUCUAGUCUUGUCUGUGGCAGCUGUGAAUCCACCCACGUUGUUCAGGGGAGGGCCAAGGACUUCUGGGACUUUGGCUGGACCCUCUGGUUGUUGCUGCCUAUAGCCUAAGACCCUUCUCUCUGAUUCCUUCACUGGGCUCUACUUACCCCAGUGUUGGGCUCUUCUGGGCGAAUCUUGGGAAUGUGGACUGAGGAGCACACUCAUGCCUCCACUGCGGAGAACACCCAUGGAAGCUCUGGGGACAUGGGCAGUCCUUGGUGUGAAGGAGCCUGAUAAUGGUUUGGAUGCGCAUAACUAAAGCCAUCUCUAGCUGGGAAUCACAAAUCCUUUUGCUGCUGGGGCAGUGGUUUGCCCUGUGAUCACCGAUUUUCCUCCCUCCCUUCUUUCCUCCCUCCCUCCCUUCCUUCUUCCUUCUUUCCUUCCUUCCUUUCAUGAACUUUUUCCAAAAAAAAUCUUUUUUAAAGAUUUAUUUUUAUUUUUCGCUUCUAUAUUGCAUCCCAACCACAGCUUCCCUUCCCUCCUCUCCUCCCUGUCCCUUUUCCACUUCCCCUCUGCCCCAGAUCCACUCCUCCUCCAUCUCCCUUCAGAAAAAGGAAGGCCUCCUAGGGACAUCAACUAAAUAUGGCAUAUCAAGUCACAAUAGGACUAGACAUGUCCCCUCAUAUCAAGG